GGCACGACUCUCGGCAACGGAUAUCUCGGCUCUCGCAUCGAUGAAGAACGUAGCGAAAUGCGAUACCUGGUGUGAAUUGCAGAAUCCCGCGAACCAUCGAGUCUUUGAACGCAAGUUGCGCCCGAGGCCACCCGGUCGAGGGCACGCCUGCCUGGGCGUCACGC
rnacentral:rRNA from 1 species